UGAUAAGUGUAUUAUACGACCAGUUUCGAGUUAAAAAUUAACCAUCAGGUAUAUUUCAGUCAAAAUAUGUCAAAAUGAGUCGCGUUUUACAUUUUGACUGUGGUAUACCUGAUGAUGAGUUUUUAAUUCGAAACCGGUGGUAUAAUACACUUAUCA